GCAUGCUCCGCCUCCUUAUAAAGAAAAGAAAGGAAAGGGAUAAGGAGAACAUAAAGCAAGACAUAUCGAAAAACAAAGUAAAGCUUGAAGAAAUUAAAGUGUCUUUUUAAGUGUGUGAAUCUCUCCUAAUAAUAGGCUUAGAAACUUUAAGACUGGAAAGUUGUAUCAAAAUGGCCAACUCAAGUAUACUCUGAAAAGGAACAAUGACCCAUUUCCGAGCUCAUCCUCUCCCUACCUCAUAAUAGUGUCCCCCGCCCCUUCUCUAAUCAAAAGAAGAAACAGAAAAAAUAAUGAAGGGAAAAUGACAUUGUAUAGCUUUUCUCAAAAUAAUAGCCGAAAAAAUGUAUAGUGUUUGUAUAUAUGUACAUUUCUGUAUUUUAUAUACAAAAAAUAUAUAAAUUUUAUAUACCUUUGUUGCUACCGGAUGUAAAUAGUUUCCUUUGCGGACUAAAAGUAUCUUUGCCCAAAAAUGAAAUCUGCACUUCUUUUGGUUGAACAGUGCAAAUCCAUUUGCACGACUUCUUUUGCAUAUUGUUGAAUUGUAAAGGAUACAAAAAGUGGGAUUUCAAGGUCAAGGCCUUGGAUGUUAGUGAGACAAUUUCAAUUGAAAUAAACAUGAUAAAGUAAGUCAUAGACCUAAUGAUUUAGAAUGGAAAAUUCAAUCAAGUUUAUGUCUUUAAGCACUCUUUUCUCAUAUUGCAAAUUUACUAAAGCUUUUAUUUUCUCUUCUUUAAAAUGACAGGGCGAAGAACUGAAAAAGCAAAUAGGUGCAGUGGCAUAUGUUGAGUGCAGCGCCAAGACACAGCAGGUAAUCUUGAACCUUUCAAGUAUGUCGGAACUUUAAAAGAUUAGUACAUGAAACAUGAUUAACAAGUCUAGAUGCACUUCAAAACAAGCAAACAUUCUUCGGAACAAAAUGCUCAAAGUUCACCUAGCUUCCUUUAGGACAUUCUGAAACCAGAAGAGUGUUAUAUACCAGACUUGGAAAACAUUUUGUGUAAGCUAAUAAUUCAGGGCAAAACCUACAAUGCAUGCAGCUUAUAAGUUGUCAGGAUUAUGAGCCAAAACCAAUUGAGAAAAAAAUGUUCUUUGUAAUGUAGAAUGUGAAGGCUGUUUUCGAUACUGCAAUCAAGGUGGUUCUUCAGCCUCCAAAGAGCAAAAAACAGAAAGGAAAACACAAAACCUGCUGGAUACUUUGAUCGAACUCGUUGGAAGAGAGACGUUUGUACAAUAACAUUUUCCAUUUCUUUGAGAUGUUUAGCUGUGAUAUGAUAUCCGUAGAUUUAUUUCUUUUUUUCCUGUUUGCUUUAGUAAGAAGUGCCAGUUUUCUCAUUUCAAAGUAUGUGUGAGUGAUGUGCUUGUUGUGUUUGUGACUGGCUUGUACAUGGUUUUAUAUGAUGGAAAGUGAUGUGGAAUUCGUUAGUGUAGACGGAAUAUGCUGUAUUUUAUGCAAUGAUCUUUCUUGGCAUGGCUAUGUAAUAUGAAAAUGUUUGUGACAUUUCUAACAGUGACAUCUAACAACUCAAAUCAGAUUUGAUCAA
rnacentral:lncRNA from 1 species